rnacentral:rRNA from 1 species
AUGAAGAUCAAUGUAGAUGGGGCCAUCUCUCGCCAAGGAGGAACUGGUGCAUCAGUUGCUGUGUGUCGGGACAAAGAAGGCAACUACCUGGGAUCUUCAGCGGUGGUUUUCGAAGGACUAGUCGAUGCCCCAAGCUUGGAAGCUCAAGCGUGCAAAAAGGCGCUUGGUUUGGCUCAAGAUCUAAUGUUGACACAUGUGAUAAUAGCCUCGGAUUGCAUGCAAGUUGUUUCGGAUAUUAAUGGGGUGGCGUCUUCUUCCUCUUAUGCUUUUGUAAUUCAAGAGAUUAAAGCUAGAGUUACAGACUUUUUAGGAGUUAAGUUUCGUUUUGAAGGUAGGGAGGCAAACUUUGAGGCUCAUGCCUUGGCAAAGGCAGCCUCAUCUCUCCCUACGGGUCGCCAUCUGUGGCUAGGGAACCCGCCAGACAUUAUUUGUAUUCCUCCGGCUUUGGUUGAUCAAUAA